GGAGCUUGUCGAUGUUGAUCUGGUGUCAAGCUAGCAAAACAAAAAGAAUGGAUAAAUUAUGAGACAAUGGUUGUAUUUUUUAUAUGUUGGAAUAAUAGAACUCGGUAUUUGAGAGAGAAAAGAGAACAAACAAAUUUAAAAAUUGAACGAAAAAGGGAACUAACUAGGGAUGACGGCCAUGACAACAACUUUACACAGGCUUAUGCUACAGCGACGACGUGUGCGACAACGGCAGUACAACCCUGACAGUGAGCUGGUGAUGGAGAAAGGCUGCAAUGGCGAGCUGGUGGCAAGGCCUCCGCGACGGCAAACUGGGUGCGCUGAAGAGUGAGUGAGGUGAGAGUGAACGCAGAGUGAAAAAUAGGAGUGACAAACGAUGCUAGGGUUGCUUCGUUUUGUUGUGGGUUAGUUUAAAU
rnacentral:lncRNA from 1 species